rnacentral:lncRNA from 1 species
CUUAGGUCAGGCCCAGGGGACCUGGGCUCUAAUAGGCAAGGUCAUGCGCAGGAGCACUUGGGAGCACCACCUGCAAUGAAUGGCAGGGCACAGGGAGCAGCUGAACCGUGAUGCUGUUACUGGAAGCUGAGAAAACUCCACAGGGAGACUGGGUGGAAAUGGUCCUUCAGGGUUUCUAACAGCGACACAUAAACAUGUCAUCAGAAAUGAUCAGCUGUGACCAUGGAUGAGGUAGCUCCUGCUCAGCAGAGGCCAUUCCUGAGGAGACGUGGUGACGGGUCAUCUGCAAAAGCACUGUGUCAUCUCCCAUCAGGACAAGAAGAAAACCUGCUACAGAUGAGGAAGGGCUGCUGUAAGCAUCAAGUAGCCCUCUACAGACAGAAGCUUUCUAGCUGCCGCUUCGCCUUGGCAUUCAUUCAAAUGACUGCAAGCUCCCUGCUUCUACCACCUAAGUUCUGUCAUCAAGUGGCUUCUGUCACCCUGGGAUCUUAUUAUUCCCACUGCUAUUGAAGAGACCAAUCCAUCACUGCCCUGUGGAGAACAGUCACCAUUAAACUUCCCAGUGGCCUAGGCUUCCCCUCACCAGCUCAUGCCUUUUAGCUUUGGUAAAUGGCUUGUCAUCUAAUCAGUGACCUUGUGGGUUUUCUUUCCCUACAGAGCAUAUGCAUUCUAGGCAGCAUGUCUGGUUCUU